UAAUAGUGUCAUGGUCCGGGUGUGUGCCAGUGUGUCUCCCUCCGAGCCGGCGUCUCCACCCCUGGGAGGGGCCUCAGUGUUUUUGCUGAUCGUUGACAUCUGUGGGUAAUUAGCCGGGGGACUCAUAAGGCCAGCGUUCUCAAUCUCUCUUCGCCAGAUUCUCUGCUAAACAUCACUACACCUAACUGUUAAACCCCUGGCGAAGAGCUUCUACUUGGAUGCUGGACUUUCUGGCAGUCCCUCAGGCUACCACCAAAACUACCUACCUGCCUCUCUGCCUCCACGCCAGGAGUUUUUGGAUUUACACACCCGGAUUACUCCCCCUCCAUGUCAUCUCCGACCUCCGUUGUGACCCCGACCUUUUCCUGGACCUUUUGUGACUUGCUUUCCAGUCCAAUCCCCGGACCCGGACCAGAUCAUUAUUUAGUUAACGUCUACGCUCACCUUUUGUUUAUGAAUAUUUUGUGUGCACAUUAAACAUUAUUCUUAAAAUAUAUUUACGAGCUGUUCGGCGUCUUGCGUUUGAGUCCUGUCACUCGUCUGAAACGGUCCCGGCCGUAACAAA
ensembl:lncRNA